GAUGAACGCUGACAGAAUGCUUAACACAUGCAAGUCAACUGUGGCGGACGGGUGAGUAACGCGUAAAGAACUUGCCUCACAGUUAGGGACAACAUUUGGAAACGAAUGCUAAUACCUGAUACUGUGAGAGAGCUUUUCGUCCCAUUAGCUAGUUGGAGAGGUAACGGCUCACCAAGGCGAUGAUGGGUAGCCGGCCUGGGAGGGUGAUCGGCCACAAGGGGACUGGGACACGGCCCUGACUCCUACGGGAGGCAGCAGUGGGGAAUAUUGGACAAUGGACCAAAGUCUGAUCCAGCAAUUCGGUGUGUACGAUGAAGUUUUCGGAAUGUAAAGUGCUUUCAUUUGGGAAGCGGUACCAACAGAAGAAGUGACGGCUAAAUACGUGCCAGCAGCCGCGGUAAUAC
rnacentral:rRNA from 1 species